rnacentral:rRNA from 1 species
AUUGAACGCUGGCGGCAUGCCUUACACAUGCAAGUCGAACGGCAGCACGGGAGCAAUCCUGGUGGCGAGUGGCGAACGGGUGAGUAAUACAUCGGAACGUGCCCAAUCGUGGGGGAUAACGCAGCGAAAGCUGUGCUAAUACCGCAUACGAUCUACGGAUGAAAGCAGGGGAUCGCAAGACCUUGCGCGAAUGGAGCGGCCGAUGGCAGAUUAGGUAGUUGGUGAGGUAAAGGCUCACCAAGCCGUCGAUCUGUAGCUGGUCUGAGAGGACGACCAGCCACACUGGGACUGAGACACGGCCCAGACUCCUACGGGAGGCAGCAGUGGGGAAUUUUGGACAAUGGGCGAAAGCCUGAUCCAGCCAUGCCGCGUGCAGGAUGAAGGCCUUCGGGUUGUAAACUGCUUUCAGCAGGGACGAGGCGAUAAGUGACGGUACCUGCAGAAGAAGCCCCGGCUAACUACGUGCCAGCAGCCGCGGUAAUACGUAGGGGGCAAGCGUUAUCCGGAUUCAUUGGGCGUAAAGCGCUCGUAGGCGGUCUGUUAGGUCGGGAGUUAAAUCCGGAGGCUCAACCUCCGCCCGCUCCCGAUACCGGCAGACUUGAGUUUGGUAGGGGAAGGUGGAAUUCCUAGUGUAGCGGUGGAAUGCGCAGAUAUUAGGAAGAACACCAGUGGCGAAGGCGGCCUUCUGGGCCAUAACUGACGCUGAGGAGCGAAAGCUAGGGGAGCAAACAGG